rnacentral:lncRNA from 1 species
CCCAAUUUUCUUUGAAUCUUGGCUCAAAAAUCCAUAAAAAAACCAAGAUUCGAUUAUCUGACUUGGUUCGAUUUUGAAUUAAGACACACUUACAAUUUAAUUUGACCGAGUGAGACGAUCACAAGAAGUUCCAAGGUACAAACUCAAUGAACAUUUAAAUAACCUUUAUUACGUUACUAAUAUUCAUUUCAAAUUCAUUCCAUAGUUCAUAUGAAGU